ensembl:lncRNA
GUACAGGGGCGGGAAGACUGCCUGCUGGGGCACCUGCGGAUGGAGGUACAGGGGCGGGAAGACUGCCUGCUGGGGCACCUGCGGAUGGGGGUGCAGGGAUGGAAAGACAGCCUGCUGGGGAACCUGUGGAUGGGGGUGCUGGGGCAGAAAGGCAGCCUGCUGAGGGCCCUGUGGUGGCUGAGGAUGCAGGGGUGGGAAGCCUUUCUGCUGCAUUGCCAGAGGCAGAGAGUGUGAAUGCAAACCAGUUUGCUGGGGUACCUGAUGUGGAUGCUGUGGAUGUAAACCAGUCUGCUUUGUCACCUGAAGUUGAAAGUGUGGAUGCAAACUGGUCUGCUGGGUCACCUGAAAUAGACUGGGUAGAUGGUGUGGAUGUAAACCAGUCUGCUGGGUCACCUGAAAUAGACUGGGUAGAUGGUGUGGAUGUAAACCAGUCUGCCGGGUCACCUGAGAUAGACUGGGUGGAUGCAAAUGAGACUGCUGGGUCACCUGAGAUAGACUGGGUGAAUGGUGUGGAUGCAAACCAGUCUGCUGUGGUAAGUGAGGCAGAUGAGGUGGAUGCAAACCAGUCUGCUGGGUCACCUGAGAUAGAGUGGGUAGAUGGUGUGGAUGUAAACCAGUCUGCCGGGUCACCUGAGAUAGACUGGGUGAAUGGAUGCAAACCAGUCUGCUGUGGUAAGUGAGGCAGAUGAGGUGGAUGCAAACCAUUCUGCUGGGUCACCUGAGGCGUAAUGAGUGGAGGCACACCAGUCUGCUGGCUCUCCUCAGGGUCGCUGGGUGGAUGCAAAACAGGCUGCCGGCUCUCCUCAGGGUCGCUGGGUGGAUGCAAAACAGGCUGCCGGCUCUCCUCAGGGUCGCUGGGUGGAUGCACAACAGGCUGCCGGCUCUCCUGAGGGACGCUGGGUGGAUCCACACCAGGCUGCCGGCUCACCUGAGAGGGACUGGGUGGAUGGUGUGGCUGCAAACCAGUCUGCUGGGUCACCUGAUGUAGACUGGGUGGCUGCAAACCAGUCUGCUGGGUCACCUGAUGUAGACUGGGUGGAUGCAAACCAGUCUGCUGGGUCACCUGAGGCUGAUACAGUGCUGGGUCACCAACAUGCUCAGACAACUCUGGCUUUUGGGGCUGCUUUAGCUGGCAGCUCAAGGUUGGGCAAGGCCGGCAGACAGACUGCUCCUUGUGUGGGCAGGGCCAGCAGCUAGACCCCUGGGGCGGACAGGGUCGGCAUGAAGGCUGCUUCUUGGGUGGGCAGGAAGCUUUUAGUUGUUGCUGGGGCACCUGUGACUGUUUGGGUUUGCACUGACGUGGUUGAGAUGCCCGUGGAUUUGGUAGGGGCUGAACACCAGACUUUGGUUCUUUGGACACAGAGCCAUUCUGUUUUAGGGUUUCAGAUUCAGAGUGAUACUGGUUAGUGGAGGACAUAGUUGUGUUGUGGUUAUUUGUAUUCAAGGGCGAUGUAUGAUUUCCAAAUGUCUCACUGCCAUACAAAGUGUCAUUCCCAGAGUUAAGACUACUUAAAUCCAAUCGAUCAUCUGCAACAAGCACCUUCUGAUCUGCAGG